GCAGAUGGCGUCUGAGUGCACAGUGGCGCGUGUGAUUCCGCAGUCUUGGGCUGUUCGGCCAAGUGCCCACCAGACGUGGGGCACUGGAGGGUCAGCAGCGUGGAGUCUGGCUUUCAGCGUCCACGGCUGGGAAAUCGGCCAUCGCCACGGCGGGAACUAGGACUGGCUGCGUCCCGGCCCUUCCCCAUCCGUCCACCGGACUCGUGGGCGCCCGCACUGGCGCUGAUGUAGUUUCCUGACCUCUGACCCGUAUUGUCUCAAGAUUAAAGGAAUCAGGAGCUUCUUUUGCUGUUCUGUUUUGGAUGCAUUGGAAGGUCCAGAUUUUGAACAAAUCUCUCUAGGGAUUGAACAGAGCUGCGCCUGGAUCCUGCCACAGUGAGGAGACCUGAAGACCAGAGGAAGCACAGCAAUGUUUAAUGAUGAACAGUUUCAGACAUAUGGAAAAACCAGGAAGCCUUGUACAUUGAACACUCACAUACCCACCACCUAGAUUCUCAGCAUUCGUGGCAUUCAGGGAUGUCGCUGUGGACUUCACCCAGGAGGAGUGGAGGUUGUUGAGCCCUGCU
rnacentral:sRNA from 1 species